rnacentral:rRNA from 1 species
AGGUUAAGCGACUAAGCGUACACGGUGGAUGCCCUGGCAGUCAGAGGCGAUGAAGGACGUGCUAAUCUGCGAUAAGCGUCGGUGAGGUGAUAUGAACCGUUAUAACCGGCGAUUUCCGAAUGGGGAAACCCAGUGUGUUUCGACACACUAUCAUUAACUGAAUCCAUAGGUUAAUGAGGCGAACCGGGGGAACUGAAACAUCUAAGUACCCCGAGGAAAAGAAAUCAACCGAGAUUCCCCCAGUAGCGGCGAGCGAACGGGGAGGAGCCCAGAGCCUGAAUCAGUGUGUGUGU